rnacentral:rRNA from 1 species
UACGGAGGUGGCAAGCGUUACUCGGAAUCAUUGGGUGUAAAGGGCAUGUAGGCGGUUAUGUAAGUCGAAUGUGAAAUCCCUUGGCUCAACCAAAGAACUGCAUUCGAAACUGCAUGGCUUGAGCACGGCAGGGGAGAGCGGAAUUCCCGGUGUAAGGGUGAAAUCUGUAGAGAUCGGGAGGAACACCAGUGGCGAAAGCGGCUCUCUGGGUCGAGGCUGACGCUGAAAUGCGAAAGCUAGGGGAG